ensembl:lincRNA Gm35191 uncharacterized LOC110293913
GAGCAAGCCAGGGAAAGCAAGCCAGUAAGUAACAUCCCUCCAUGGCCUCUGCAUCAGCUCCUGCUUCCUGACCUGCUUGAGUUCCAGUCCUGACUUCCUUUGGUGAAGAACAGCAAUGUGGAUGUUGAUCCUAACAAGGAGAAGAGAUGUCAUCACUAAUGUGAGGCAUAAAAGACAGGAGCUACAUAGUCUGGUCCACGAAGAGCAAAAGGCUUAGGUAAGAGGAAACAUCUGGCCACUGAAAUGUGAAUCUAUGAACCAAAGAAAUCUCAAGGACCCAUGAGAACGGUGCACAUCAGGGUUCAGGAAAUGGCCUUUCAAUAUUUUCAAGAAGCUGAAUGUUCCCUCUUGCUAAAAAAGACCCAUUACCCAAUUUUUUGAGUGUGCCUUGGAGGAAUGUAUGAUGUCUUCUGUAAAAAUUAUUUGACAGAUAUUCAAAGAACACUUCAUAUGCCCUGGCGCAAGCCAGGCACUGAGCACAAAGUGCAUACCUGGCCUUGUCCUCUUCUGCCCCAAAAUCUCACAAUGGGAUUUGUGAUAUAUUUUCCACAAGAAAACAAUUAGAGCAGAAAGUCAAUGAAUAGCUAUGAAGGAGAGAACCCAAAGCAGGGAAUAGCUAACUGUUGAAAAAAAUGAAGUUGUCACCAAGGAGUGAAUUUGUAUGGGAUAAUUAUGGAUAACUUAGACUUUGUCACAAAGAAUAAUACUUUUAACAUUGAAGAUGGCAGGACCCGUGAAUUCCUGUGGCCCUUGGCAAGGCAAAUCAGUUCAUCAUCCUAUCUGUAUUUUCAUCAGAUAUCUAAAGUUUUACUUAGUUAUAAUUUCUUCUUUAAUCAGUUGAUACAAUAUACAUAAUCAUAAACAGUAGAAGAUCAGAGGUCAUCAUUAAGAUGGAUAGGGUAGGAAUCAGGAAGAACAGUGUAUAUGACAUUACCAUAACUCUUGUGUUAGAACUGAAGUACAUUCUGUCUGAUGAAAAAAAAAAGGUCAUAAAAACAGCCAAGGAUGAGAGUUGAGAUUGUAGAAGGGAUCAGAAGCCAGGUGGUAAAAGUUGGUUGAACGCUAUAAGCUAUACCUUACUCAUAGUACAGUCCAUAAGAUUUGAUGAUGAAGAAGGCAUCAGAACAGUCAAUUCUCAAACAGAUAGUGAGAAAUAUAAACCUGUUAUGCCUCUGCAUACACAAGCACCUUUGCAUCUUCAGGCAUUUUCCAGCCUUUUUGGAAGAAUUGCCUGAAAUUUCUAUAUCACAACCUAAUCUCAUGUAUAAGAGUAUCUCACAAACUUAAAAUCCUAUGUGAGCCUCAGAACAGUGUCUGUGACAUCACCAAAACUCUUGUGUGACCCCAAGCCAUUAGCUAAAAUCCAUCAGGUUUGAUAAUUUGGAAUGUCUAAAUUAGAAACACCUAAUUCUUGUUGCUUUAACAAGAAUGAAAAAUGCUAAGAAAAUGUGGACAACUGUAAAAGCUUAAAGUUUAUGUUCAGAAUCUGUGGGUGGAAGAACUGGAUGACUCAGGAUAGAGGAGAAAACAUUUUUAAAAAAUGGAAGUGGACUCAUGUAUUAGCUGUGGAACUUCAGCAAACUUGUAUAAUGGGUCUCUAAACUGGAGCUAACACUGCAAGAACACAUUUGACUGGUAAUGUUAACUGUAGAAAAUUUGCAUAUGAAAUAGAUCAGCUUAUGACCUCAGUGCAGAUGAGAACUGUGUUUCAUCUAAUUUUAAAGUUGAGCUCACUUGCAAAAAGUCAACAGCUCAUAAGGCUAAUAGAGAAUGUUUCACUAAAUGGUACAUAUGAGAACAUUUUGCAGGGAACUCCAACAGGGUCCAAGGACCUCCAUCAGGGAUGCCUUUACUCUCUAAGAGCUUUAGUCUUCCAGCUGCAAGCACUGUGAGAAUGUAACUGAUAUUUAUUUGCCAUAAAGAAGCGACUUGUGAUAGACAAUAUAGGUUAUUAUAUUGUAUCUUUCUCCAAAAGGCUACAUGUGUAAGUCUCCAUUCCUAGGGUUAAGCAUGAAAUUCUGGAAAGUUAUCAAUACUUUUAGUAAAUGGGUUGUGAUAGGAAGGGGGAAGCUUGGGUCAUGGGACUGCUGUCUUUGUUUCUUUGCAGAUUUGGGUUCUGGCUCACAAAAGGAAAGAAUUUGUUAUCUGAGGCCCAAAGUAUUGAUCUCCCAAUCUUGGAAUAGAGCUAUAAAAUCAUGUGCCCAAGAAAUCUUUGUUUCCUUGUAUAAUAACAUAACUUCUUCAAGGAGUCAUUACAGUAAAAAGAAAUUGAAGAAUGCAAAGAUCACCUGCAGAUCUCUACAUGUUACAAGAAUCUCACAUCUUUGUUAUUUAUAUAUUUCUUCCCAGUCUUAGAAGUGGUAUUAACACCAAUGAUUGUAUGUGGAUAAACUCCGAGUCACAUUGGUACAUCUAAGUUAUCAUUUUAGUAUGACAAAGUUAAAAUUUUUAUCACAUUGAUUGAAAUAAAUGUGUAUGU